rnacentral:rRNA from 1 species
CGGGUGAGUAACACGUGGAUAACCUACCUAUAAGACUGGGAUAACUUCGGGAAACCGGAGCUAAUACCGGAUAAUAUUUUGAACCGCAUGGUUCAAAAGUGAAAGACGGUCUUGCUGUCACUUAUAGAUGGAUCCGCGCUGCAUUAGCUAGUUGGUAAGGUAACGGCUUACCAAGGCAACGAUGCAUAGCCGACCUGAGAGGGUGAUCGGCCACAUUGGAACUGAGACACGGUCCAG